CCUACGGGUGGCAGCAGUGAGGAAUAUUGGUCAAUGGACGAGAGUCUGAACCAGCCAAGUAGCGUGAAGGAUGACUGCCCUAUGGGUUGUAAACUUCUUUUAUAUGGGAAUAAACUGUUCCACGUGUGGGCUUUUGUAUGUACCAUAUGAAUAAGGAUCGGCUAACUCCGUGCCAGCAGCCGCGGUAACACGGAGGAUCCGAGCGUUAUCCGGAUUUAUUGGGUUUAAAGGGAGCGUAGGUGGAUUGUUAAGUCAGUUGUGAAAGUUUGCGGCUCAACCGUAAAAUUGCAGUUGAAACUGGCAGUCUUGAGUACAGUAGAGGUGGGCGGAAUUCGUGGUGUAGCGGUGAAAUGCUUAGAUAUCACGAAGAACUCCGAUUGCGAAGGCAGCUCACUGGACUGCAACUGACACUGAGGCUCGAAAGUGUGGGUAUCAAACAGGAUUAGAUACCCUGGUAGUC
rnacentral:rRNA from 1 species